GGCGCGUUCGCCAAGUGGUAAGGCAAAGGUCUGCAAAACCUUUAUCGGCGGUUCGAUUCCGCCACGCGCCUCCA
rnacentral:tRNA from 1 species